rnacentral:rRNA from 1 species
GAAGCCUGUGGUCAUUUGAUCACUAGGCAAUGUGGUGUUUAGGUUAUCUCGCAGAAGCACUGCUCCACCCUAAGUCCAAAAAUGAGUACGGUAGUACGGACAUGGCCCAAAGAGGGUGAAAGGCCCGUGGGGGUGGAGAUCAGGCAGGACAGUGCUUCUCUGAGCAAACCUUUGAGUCGGGUUGUUUGAGAUUGCAGCCCAAAGUGGGUGGUAAACUCCAUCCAAGGCUAAAUACUUGCACGAGUCCGAUAGCGAACAAGUACCGUGAGGGAACGUUGAAAAGUACUUUGAAGAGAGAGUAAACAGUGCGUGAAACCGCUCAGAGGUAAACGGGUGGAGUUGAACUGCGAACCCCGAGAAUUCAACUGGUGAGUGUGGUAUGAGCUUGGCAUAAUGGUUGGCUCUACGGGUCUGCUUAGCUGCAGGUCUUCACCUCUUGGUGGAGAUGCGCGAUACACUUGUCAAGUGGUGCGCGCUCGUUGAGUUACUCGGACAUACUCGCCAGUGCACUUUCUCGGGGUGUUCACCACGACCGGCGCCGCUACUUGUCUAAUAUGGUUAAACCGGUCUUGCUUGGUCCUUGUGGCUUUGCUCGAUCGGGAUGGCAGGUAACUCGUUAACUUGUGUGUUGGCCUUGGUUGACAUGCGCAUGGUUUUCGAGUGUAAUCAGCUGACUGUAUUGGUGCUAUGUAGUGCGUCGGAGACGGCGGCUUGUGGUGUGUGCCUGCGUGCCUAUUUGCUGACGGAACCGGGUUUGGUUAUUAUGUUGCCUGUUCUGCAGGCCUGGUGAUGGCCCGGUUUCGCUUGGUGGAUAGGGGCGUGUGUGACACUUAUCAGGGCCUAUAGUCUGUGGUGUUGUGGUAGACUAUCCACCUGACCCGUCUUGAAACACGGACCAAGGAGAGUAACAUGUGCGCGAGUCAUGGGGUGU